UCUAGGAAUUUUCCAAUAAUUAUUAUGAUUAAUCCUGAAGUCAGCAGACAAUUAAAAAUUUUUGAAUUUUUUUUCUAGAGACAAAAAAAAAAAACUAAAAAUAUGCUCAUGUGGAAAAUUUAAAAAACUACAGGUGAAAAAAGAAUCUAAAAAUUUUUUAUGCUAAACAUAUUUAUAUUAUUGAAAAAAAACUUGACGUAGACAAAUUCUCAGCGAUAACAUGUGCGUCAUAUAUAUUAAUAUAUAUGAUAUGAUAAAGUAUAACAGCAAGGAUAUUUUUUUACACCCACAUAUUUUGAAUAAUUUAUUAUUUUUUAAAAAUCAUAAACAAGGAAGACUAUUUUUUUCAUGGGAAAGGCAGACGUCUGAUGAGUAAUUUUAUUUACGUCACUACAGGGUUCAAUCACAAUUAAAUAAAAACGAUAAUGAGUAACGAGAUUAAUUGCAGUGUGAAUGUUUUUCAAGGUUUUUUUUUAACAUUGUUGGAAUUUAAAAUGAUUAUAAUAUCACAUUGAUACUUUUACUUGAUACUAGUUUACUCUGCAUAUAUACAUAUAUUUAAAUUUAAAUAAAUGAAAUUAAAAUUUUUAUCUUGUAGUAAUUUAGGUCAUUAAUAAUUAAUGGAUUACAAAAUAUGUUAUUAAUUAAAUUAUUGAUUUUAAUUAUAUAUCAAUAUUACUAAAAAUUUUUUAAUCAUGCAACACUACAGCUGAUUGAUAUAAAUAUUGAUUUAUUGAUCAAUGUAUAGAAAUAUUAUUAUAAUUAUUAUUAUUUGAAUAAUAAACAAGUCUGUUUUAUUGGCGGGGA